rnacentral:lncRNA from 1 species
AAAUUUGGAACGAAUCGAUGUCAACGUUCACAAGAACCAAAAUCGGAACAACGUUAGACUACUUAGUUGAGCCAUAACAGUCUAACUUUGCAACUAGUACGUUUUCUCAUUCAAUCGAACAAAGAGCAAAACCUAAUUAUAUUAUUCUAUUUUGCCCCGAGUAUGAAAUUUGGAACGAAUCGAUGUCAACGUUCACAAGAACCAAAACCGGAACAACGUUAGACUUCUCAGUUGAGCCCUAACAGUAUAACAUUGCAGCUAGUACUUUUUCUCAUUCAAUCGAACAAAGAGUAAAAACCUAAUUAUAUUGUUGUAUUAUGCCCCGAGAGUAUAAAUUUGGAACGAAUCGAUGUCAACUUUCACAAGAAGCAAAACUGGAACAACAUUAAACUACUCAGUUGCGCCCUAACAGUAUAACUUUGCAACAAGUACUUUUUCUCAUUCAACCGAACAAAGAGUAAAACCUAAUUAAAUUGUUCUAUUAUGCCCCGAGAGUGUAAAUUUGGAACGAAUCGAUGUCAAUGUUCACAAGAACCAAAACCGGAACAACAUUAGACUACUUAGUUGCGCCAUAACAGUAUAACUUUACAACAAGCACUUUUUCUCAUUCUAUCGAACAAAGAGUAAAAGCUUUCUAUUAUACCCCGAGAGUGUAAAUUUGGAACGAAUCGAUGUCAACGUUCACAAGAACCAAAAUCGGAACAACGUUAGACUACUUAGUUGAGCCCAAACAGUUUAACUUUGCAACUAGUACUUUUUCUCAUUCAAUCGAACAAAGAGAAUAACCUAAUUAAAUUAUUCUAUUUUGCCCCGAGUGUGAAAUUUGGAACGAAUCGAUGUCAACGUUCACAAGAACCAAAACGGAACAACAUUAGACUACUCAGUUGCGCCAUAACAGUAUAACUUUGCAACGAGUACUUUUUCUCAUUCUAUCAAAUAAGAAGUAAAAGCUUUCUAUUAUGCCCCGAGAGUGUAAAUUUGGAACGAAUCGAUGUCAACGUUCACAAGAACCAAAACCGGAACAACAUUAGACUUCUCAGUUGAGCCCUAACAGUAUAACAUUGCAACUAGUACUUUUUCUCAUUCAAUCGAACAAAGAGUAAAAACCUAAUUAUAUUAUUGUAUUAUGCCCCGAGAGUAUAAAUUUGGAACGAAUCGAUGUCAACUUUCACAAGAAGCAAAACCGGAACAACACUAGACUACUCAGUUGCGCCCUAACAGUAUAACUUUGCAACAAGUACUUUUUCUCAUUCAACCGAACAAAGAGUAAAACAUAAUUAAAUUGUUCUAUUAUAC